UCCCUGGCAGUCCAGUGGUUAAGACCGUGCACUUCCACUGCAGGGGACACAGGUUCAAUCCCUGGUCAGGGAA
rnacentral:tRNA from 1 species